GUCGAGCGGACAGAUGGGAGCUUGCUCCCUGAUGUUAGCGGCGGACGGGUGAGUAACACGUGGGUAACCUGCCUGUAAGACUGGGAUAACUCCGGGAAACCGGGGCUAAUACCGGAUGCUUGAUUGAACCGCAUGGUUCAAUUAUAAAAGGUGGCUUCUGCUACCACUUACAGAUGGGCCCGCGGCGCAUUAACUAGUUGGUGAGGUAACGGCUCACCCAGGGAACCAUGCGUAACCCAACUGAAAGGGAUGAUCGGCCACACUGGGACUGAAACACGGCCCAAACUCCUACGCGAGGCAGCAGUAAGGAAUCUUCCGCAAUGGACGAAAGUCCGACGGAACAACCCCGCGUGAGUGAUGAAGGUUUUCGAAUCGUAAAACUCUGGUGGUAGGGAAGAACAAGUACCGUUCGAAUAGGGCGGUACCUUGACGGUACCUAACCAGAAAGCCACGGCUAACUACGUGCCAGCAGCCGCGGUAAUACCUAAGUGGCCAAGCGUUGUCAGGAAUUAUUGGCCGUAAAGCGCGCGCAGGCCGUUUCUUAAGUCUGAUGUGAAAGCCCCCGGCCUCAACCCGGGGAGGGGUCAUUGGAAACUGGGGAACCUGAGUGCCAGAAGAAGAGAAAUGGAAAUUCCACGUGUUAGCCGGUUGAAAUGCGUAAAGAUGUGGAGGAACACGCAGUUGCCGAAGGCGAACUCUCUUGGUCUGUAACUGACGCCUGAAGCCCGAAAGCGUGGGGGAGGCGACCAGGAUUAGAUACGCUUGGUAGUCCACGCCGUAAACGAUGAGUGCUAAGUGUUAGAAGGGUUUCCGCCCUUUAAUGCUGCAGCAAACGCAUUAAGCACUCCGCCUGGGCAGUACGGUCGCAAGACUGAAACUCAAAGGAAUUGACGGGGGCCCGCACAAGCGGUGGAGCAUGUGGUUUAAUUGGAAGCAACGCGAAGAACCUUACCAGGUCUUGACAUCUUCUGACAACCCUAGAGAUAGGGCUUCCCCUUCGGCGGCAGAGUGACAGGUGGUGCAUGGUUGUCGUCACCUCGUGGUCGUGAGAUGUUGGGUUAAGUCCCGCAACGAGGCAGCAGACCCUAUGAUUUUAGUUGCCAGCAUUCAGUUGGGCACUUUAAGGUGACUGCCGGUGACAAACCGGAGGAAGGUGGGGAUGACGUCAAAUCAUCAUGCCCCUUAUGACCUGGGCUACACACGUGCUACAAUGGGCAGAACAAAGGGCAGCGAAGCCGCGAGGUUAAGCCAAUCCCACAAAUCUGUUUUCAGUUCGGAUCGCAGUCUGCAACUGGACUGCGUGAAGCUGGAAUCGUUAGUAAUCGCGGAUCAGCAUGCCGCGGUGA
rnacentral:rRNA from 1 species